CAUAUAUAUUCAAAGGUACCAAAAAGAAAUUAAAAAUGCUCUCUGUUGUCUAUUCAAAAUUCAGGUCGUCCCUAUAAGCUUUUGCCCUAAUUGUUUUCAUGACAGCUUUACCAAUUUCUUUUUGCAAUUAAAGUUUGCCUUAACUCUGCUUUCCAUCACUACUUCUCACAACUUUGUCAAAUUCGUUUUUCCAUUAAGUUUUUGCCCUAAUCUCAAUUUCCAUUGUAGCUUCCAUAGCAGAUCAGGUGUUUAUCAGCAGGCAAGUUGCAUACCUGCGGUUCAAGUUGGCCAAUAAGAGGGAGAGAAGGUGGGGAUAAAGUUAUAGGGUACUGAUCUAUAUGUGAAUUUAAGAAAAUUUUGAGAAGCAUGGGAAAGUGGAAUACCCACGCGUUCACCAACAGUUGAUGUGAGUUCUUGAUAUGGUAAGGUGGAGUUUUUAUUCAAGUUAGCAAUAAUAGGUAUGACUCUUGAGAGAGGUUAGUUGUUGGUAAACCACCUUGAGGAACCUGAAGUGCAAAAAGGGGAGUGUUCUCAUCACGUGCGACAUGCCUUGAGAUGAUAAUUCUUUCAUCAAGGGUGAGAGACCUAUAACCUCUAUGAUUUGCACAAUAACCAAAGAAGGUGCAUGGUUGGGAUUGAAACUCAACUUUGUAUUUACUUAAUGGUCUCUGUAAAGGAAAACAUUGACACCCAAAUACUUUAAGAAAAUAGUAAUCAAGUUUACUGCCAAAUAACUUCUAAUGAGGACUCACGAUUUAAAUGACCUCUGAAGGUAACCUAUUAAUCAAGAAAAUAGUGGAGUAGAAUGCAUCACUCCAAAAUUUUAUAGGUAACGAAGCUAGAGCUAAUAGAUUAAGACCAGUUUUAAUGAUAUUUCUAUGUUUGCAUUAUAUAAUGCCAUUUUGGGGUGAAAUGUAUGGACAAGUGAGCCUGUGGAUGAUACCAUCUCUAAGAAAAUGAGGUUUAUGCAAGUUGAACUUGGUGCCA